ACCUCUCCUCUACAUUGCAGAUGCCUCACAUCCACCACCGACCUUGAUUCCUGGGGAGGACGCUGACACAAACACACCUCAGCAACUCACCUGGACAGUCCUGCCUCAAGGUUUUAGAGACAGCCCUCACCUCUCAGGACAGGCCCUCGCCAUGGAUCUAGCAGCCUGUGAUCUCAGUCCUGGCACUCUCCUCCAUUCAUCCAAGCCGCAUUCGAGAGAUGACUCACACCACCUUCAACCAACUACACCCUACUCAAGCCUCCCCACCAGUGAGCCAGGCCAUUGACCUUGUUUUUUGACCUCUCUUCCUCACAUUGCUCCACAUCAGCAGGAAUUAGCCAGAAAGAAUCCUUCACCCUUUAUCCUAUAACUAAAAGGUCAGAAUGUAAGGUCAUCGAUGAGGCAGAGGGAAGAACUUGAAACUGAGACCACCUGCAUCCCGGCAACCUGCAUCCUGGGAGUUGGCUCUACCUGGUUUGCACUGUGCCUGAUAAGCAGCCAUGAAAGAACAAGCGGCAAGAGAGAACAACUUUGUAAAGCAACCUUACUCCACCUCCCACCAAGGCCAGACUCCGUCCUAUAAAAGAAUACCCUGUGAGAAAUUUAGCCUGGCUUUCCUUUUCUUUACUGUACCAACCCUUUCAAUUGUUAUAAGGCAGGGAGAGGGGCAGCCCAGAGCCCGCAAACCUGCCUGCUUUAGAUAAGUUCUGCCAUCUGCCGCAUCAACACAGAACAUGUAAGAUUUUAAUGGGAAGGAACUUUAAUACAAUUAGUAAACAAUACAGGAAAGGCGAAGAAUAUAGUUUCUAAAUUAAGCAUCCAAAGUUACCCGUCCCCUCUUGGGUAAAACUCUACCCAAAUGGAAUUGGCCCAGAGCAAGGCCCCAAAGCCUGCCACAAGUCUAAAGCUACUUCUAGUGGGGACGCACAGAAAAGGGUCAGAAAUAGCCAGACAAGUCUUCUAGGAAAAGAGCAAAAUCAAAAUCAAGAUAAAAGCUGCCAUUGUCACCUCCCCACGGGUGUCUCACCCACAUCUGUGUCCAGUCCACAACCAAGAAGCAAGCACAGUUUCUUCAUGUGUCUCUUGGCUCCAUGUGCCUGCUCAAGUUCUCCUUCCGGCUCCAUCCUGCUUCCUUCCUUCUUCAGCUCUUGAGUUAAAUUCCAAACCUCGGAUUUCUAGUGAGAGUCCAGGAACAAACAAUUUACAAAAUAAGCUCUUAAUCUGUCUCUUCUCCUGUACACCUCAUGGUUCACAAAAAUAAUUAAAGUCGGGCCUCCCUGGUGGCACAAGGGGUAAGCACCGC